UUUACUAUUUUACCGUCACAUUUCUUUAUGUAUCACGGAUGGAGACACGUGGUACGUCGGGAAAUGUACGGUAAAAUAUGAUU